CAUAAACUGGGUCUUUUUUCCCGGACUUCACUCGCACUUUUGCUUUCAUCUCGGCUCGUUUUUGGUAUUUAUUGCUCUUUUACAAACACACACACACACACACACCAGACACACAACACACACCUAGACACCUGCACACACAUUUCUGGAAACACAAAGAUCAGGACACGCCAAACGGUAUUUGGAGCUUAGUACAGAGCCAGAUGAAGGCGGGAUUCUGUCCACUCAUCUGGUCUGGAUUCAGCCGACAGCGGAGAUGAAGCUGAUUUUAUUGAUGGGAUAGGUCCUUCCCAUGAUAUUGUUGAUAAUGAGGAGGAGGAAGAAGAGACCUCCUACUCCCCUGAGGCACCCAAUGCUCUGGAAACCGGCAGAGGGAGAGGAAAGAGUCAGCCUUUAGGUCACAGGAGCUGCAGCAGUCAUUCCACUGGCAACUGUGGACAGGAACUGUCACAAAGCCUACCACAGCUCCACUGAUCAAACUGAAAGCUAAUAUUUGACUGUGCCUGUCAUUGCAAUAUUGUAAAUACUUUAUUGUAAAUAGUUUUUUUUAAUGCUCAUUUUGUCUUUUUGGAUUCAGCUUUUUUGUAUCUUGAUAAAACUUAUACUUUUAAUUUGUGUUCAUCUGUUCUAGUUUCAACACAGUAACAAAUGAUUAUAUUUUAUGUUGUUUUUUGGACUUUUUAUUGUUUGAAGGUGGUCUUAUGAACAGGUCUGUGUGCUCAUAGGUAUCUGGCACACUUAGAGAUUUGAUUACACUUCUGUAAAUAGUAUAUUUUGAUGCACAUUUUAUCUUUUCCCAAAUUGUUCUCAAUGUACAUUUUAUUUCCGUUUUUGUCUCCGUUUAUAAAAAUGUGUGUACUUCAAAAAGGAAGUUAUGGACACACUCCAAAUACAUUUUCUGUGGUUUGAAAGGAUUGUGUGCAACUUUUUUGCAUUACAAUUUUUGAGGGAUACAGCUUUAUUUCUAUAUUUAGGAAAAUAUGUGUAAAACAAAAAAAACAAUAAAAAAUUUUCUGGUGGUUAA